GACGAACGCUGGCGGCGUGCUUAACACAUGCAAGUCGAACGGAAAGGCCUGCUUUCCCUUGUGGAUUGCGGGUACUCGAGUGGCGAACGGGUGAGUACCACGUGAGUGAUCUGCCCCCAACUUGGUUAUAAGCCUGGGAAACUGGGUCUAAUUCCCUAUAGGACUGCAGGGUGGUCCCUGUGGUGGAAAACGAUUUUCUAGUGGUUGGGGAUGACCUCGCGGCCUAUCAGCUUGUUGGUGGGGUAAUGGCCUACCAAGGCGGCGACGGGUAGCCGGCCUGAGGAGGUGGACGGCGUCAUUGAGACUGAGCUGCGACACAGACACCUAGGCGCGGCAGCGAUUGGGACUGUAGGAAGCAGGGGGGAAGCCUGGAGAAGGGAGGCAACGCUGAGGAUGCCAGGCUUCGGGAUGUAAGCUGCUUUCGGGCGUGAAGAGGCCACCUGGUUGGGAAGGUAGUGACGGUAGUGGUAGAAGAAGCCCCGGCUAACUACGUG
rnacentral:rRNA from 1 species